rnacentral:lncRNA from 1 species
AGCAGGUCAAGAUCUGGCCUUAUAUGUGCUGAGGAGCCCUCUAAGAAGUGCUUCUCUGACUGUACAGUUCUCUUCUCUACAGCUGCUAAUGUCUGUGGGCUUGGGCUCACCAGUUCACUUGGGCAGGGUGUCCCUCCCAGUGAUCUGAGAUCUUCAGGCUCUUACCAGCUCCUUGUUUGCUUAAGGAUGCUCUUGGGAUAAAGGACUCUUGGGUGGGUGUCUUAGUUUCACUAUAUUUUUUUAAAGAAAUCCUUCAGAAUAAAAUGAAGGGCAAUUUGAAAAGGCUUCCAAUCUAGUUUUUACUCCUAUGGUUUUUCCUUUGUCUUGACAGUUAUGGCUCAGAAUCUAUAGCAGUAUUCAGCGUAGCCAUCAACAUCCCACUGCAGACAUUCCCAAGUAUCAAAUUUUCCAUCUGUAAAACCAGAAUAAUCUGAGCACGCUCCCAGAGAAGGGCUGCAGUGUGUGGGAAGUGCCCUGAAGCUGAUCCUACAGGGCGCGUUGUGAGAUGGCACCAAUGCUAACACGUCCUUUAACUUGGCAGGGUUAAAUGCGCUGAUGGCUGUUUGCCAUUGAUGUGGCCAUGCAGCCUUCUGAUCAGAAUAAGGCUUGGGGGCUCAUGGGGUCUACCCAUGACAUCGGGUAGACGUGCUCGGUGGUUUUUCACAGGGGGAGGUGCACUGGAAAUGCACAAUAUUAUGAAACGAAACCUCUCUUAAUUUCACCUGUCACUAGUAAUUAAAAUGUAAGUGCAGUGUUGCUAAUUGUGUUUUGAACAAUAUAAUUCUAAGAUAAAAUAAAUGCAAGCUCCAAGUGUUCAGCACAGCUCUAAGACAAGAAUUAAUGUGUUUCACCAGGGAAGGGGGACUUAUGCUGAUGGUGAGAAUCGGCGCUAUCUUUCUAAAGGCAAGAGCAGUUACAGACCCACUGUUCAUUACUUUGGAUGUGUCACAUUUGCUAGUAUGACAAGAUGUAUUAUGGACGAGGAAUUUUACAGAUGGAGAGAAACAUCCAUCGGUCGGACAGAAAUUUCAAGCAACAGUUCUUGGAAACCAUAUGGGGAUCAGCCUGGGAGUUCUGCAAGCUUGAGUACACCAGAACUUUGUUGCUGUUGUCAGUUAAGUGCUUCCAGUGCAUUCAUCUCAGACAGUAUUAACAAGGAAUAAACAAGACUUCACUGAGGUUUUAGAGGAAUAUCUCAGUAACGCUAUCAGUAUUUAUGUUAUAUAUGUUCAGAAAAUAAAUAAAUAAAUAAAUAAAGACCCUCUUCCUGU